rnacentral:lncRNA from 1 species
GUUUGUUCUGCCUCCUGGGAAGCAGCUUUCAAACUCAUUGUUCAAGUGUCCUUGGAAUGAAAAAGACAAACCAUCCCGUCAAGGGAACAAUAGUUUCUACUUAGGGGGAAAGUACAUCUUGCCAAUUUCAGUUUGCAUUGUCCCAAACAUGUUUGUAAAACUCUACCCUGAAUUAUCUGUGAUGAAUACAGUAUAAAGUUAACCCCCCACAUGGAAUGACUAACAAAAGCAGAUGCGAAACAGCUAACAAAGAAAGCAAACACAAAGAUAAAACAGCAUGCGUCAAAUCCUAUGUCAAUCAUAAGAAAAUGUUUUUCACAUCUAAUCAUCGAAGAUUAAAGGCUGGAUAUUUAAGGAAUGUGAAAGAGGAUGUCCUUCAGCAAACAAUUUAAAUAAGGCAAGAAAUGAACGUGAUAUUUUCUCCGCCUCCUCUCUUCUGACUGAGAAGAUGAUUCCUGGAGAUAAUCCACUUGGUUAUCCGUGGAUGUGAACAUAAUUUGGAGGCAGCAGUCACUCCAGAUGGCCCGCUGAAGCUGGGAGUCCUGAGUUAAUUUCAAGCCAAAUUUCUCACUCCCUGGAGGAGCAGAGUGGAGGGUGUGUGUGCAUGGAGAAGUCCAAGAUUUCAUAUCUGGAAAAGAAGACUGGGAGAGGCCAGCAUGAAUGGCCACUGUCCUCGCCAAAUCUGGAUGGUAUGUCUUAGGUGAGUUGUUAAGAAAACUUCCUGACUGCCGUUGUGGACAGAUCUUGGAACAGACUGCUGAGGGCAGCUGCAGGAUGACUUUUUCUGGAGUUCAGAGCUGCCUGGGUGGUUCCAAUGCUCUUGCCUGACUCAGCUAGCCCAGGCCUCCUGAGUGACCUCUGAAGGUGUGCCCCAACUCACUAAGCCCUAGAUCUGUGUGGGCUUCUGAGGGGUGGGGAAGACAUGGGGCCAGUAACAUAGAACUAUGGUGGAUUGGUAGCUUCAAUGAGUACAAAAGGAAUUCCAGAGAAACUUAGAUAUU